AGCGAACGCUGGCGGCAGGCUUAACACAUGCAAGUCGAGCGGGCAUCCUUGUGGUGUCAGCGGCAGACGGGUGAGUAACGCGUGGGAACGUGCCCUUCGGUUCGGAAUAACUCAGGGAAACUUGAGCUAAUACCGGAUACGUGCGAGAGCAGAAAGGUUUAUCUGCCGAAGGAUCGGCCCGCGUCUGAUUAGCUAGUUGGUGAGGUUAUGGCUCACCAAGGCGACGAUCAGUAGCUGGUCUGAGAGGAUGAUCAGCCACACUGGGACUGAGACACGGCCCAGACUCCUACGGGAGGCAGCAGUGGGGAAUAUUGGGCAAUGGGGGCAACCCUGAUCCAGCCAUGCCGCGUGAGUGAUGACGGCCUUAGGGUUGUAAAGCUCUUUUCUCCGGGACGAUAAUGACGGUACCGGAGGAAUAAGCCCCGGCUAACUUCGUG
rnacentral:rRNA from 1 species